rnacentral:pre_miRNA from 7 species
GUGUAUCCCCAGCUCUGAGAACUGAAUUCCAUGGGUUAUAUCAAUGUCAGACCUGUGAAAUUCAGUUCUUCAGCUGGGAUAGCUCUG